rnacentral:rRNA from 1 species
GAGUUUGAUCCUGGCUCAGAUUGAACGCUGGCGGCAUGCCUUACACAUGCAAGUCGAACGGCAGCACGGGAGCUUGCUCCUGGUGGGCGAGUGGCGAACGGGUGAGUAAUGCAUCGGAACGUAUCCUGGAGUGGGGGAUAACGUAGCGAAAGUUACGCUAAUACCGCAUAUUCUGUGAGCAGGAAAGCGGGGGACCUUCGGGCCUCGCGCUCUUGGAGCGGCCGAUGUCGGAUUAGCUAGUUGGUGAGGUAAAGGGCUCACCAAGGCGACGAUCCGUAGCAGGUCUGAGAGGAUGAUCUGCCACACUGGAACUGAGACACGGUCCAGACUCCUACGGGAGGCAGCAGUGGGAUUUUGGACAAUGGGGGCAACCCUGAUCCAGCCAUGCCGCGUGAGUGAAGAAGGCC